rnacentral:rRNA from 1 species
UACAGAGGUGGCAAGCGUUGUUCGGAAUUACUGGGCGUAAAGGGCGCGUAGGCGGUCCGAUAAGUCCUGUGUGAAAUCCCUCGGCUCAACUGAGGAACUGCACGGGAGACUGCCGGGCUUGAGUUCGGGAGAGGGAAGCGGAAUUCCAGGUGUAGCGGUGAAAUGCGUAGAUAUCUGGAGGAACACCGGUGGCGAAGGCGGCAUCCUGGACCAAUAUUGACGCUGAGGAGCGAAAGCCAGGGGAGCAAACGGG